rnacentral:rRNA from 1 species
GACGGAGGGUGCUAGCGUUGUUCGGAAUUACUGGGCGUAAAGGGCGCGUAGGCGGCUGCUCAAGUCAGGUGUGAAAGCCCUGGGCUCAACCCAGGAUGUGCACUUGAUACUGCACGGCUAGAGUGUCGGAGAGGAUGGUGGAAUUCCCAGUGUAGAGGUGAAAUUCGUAGAUAUUGGGAAGAACACCGGUGGCGAAGGCGACCAUCUGGACGACAACUGACGCUGAGGCGCGAAAGCGUGGGGAGCAAACAGG